rnacentral:tRNA from 1 species
GGCCCGUUGGUCAAGCGGCUAAGACGGCGGCCAGUAGAGCAACUGACUCUUAAUCAGUGGGUCCACGGUUCGAGCCCGUGAUGGUGUACCA